rnacentral:rRNA from 1 species
UACAGAGGGGGCAAGCGUUAUUCGGAAUUAUUGGGCGUAAAGGGCGCGUAGGCGGCCUGGCAAGUGGAAGGUGAAAUCCCUCGGCUUAACCGAGGAACUGCCUCCCAAACUGCUUGGCUUGAGACCGGGAGAGGUGAGUGGAAUUCCCAGUGUAGCGGUGAAAUGCGUAGAUAUUGGGAAGAACACCAGUGGCGAAGGCGACUCGCUGGACAAGUAUUGACGCUGAGGUGCGAAAGCGUGGGGAGCAAACAGG